ensembl:misc_RNA 7SK 7SK RNA
AGAUGUGAGGGCGAUCUGACUGUGACAUCUGUCACCCCACUGAUUGAUUCAGCUGAUCUGGGGCUAGGCGGGUGCCCUCUUCCUCCCUCACUGCUCCAUGUGCAUCCUUCCUGAAGCUGCGUGCUAAGAGGACAGCCUUCUCCGAAUAGAGACUGAUCGGUCUUCAGUCGAGGAUAUACAAGUAGUUGUGCUCCCCUGCUAGAACCUCCACACAAGCUCUCAAGGAAUGAAGAACUCUCUAAGGUAAAAGAUUCUCAUGAUAUUUGUGGUUGGAGAACUCUCUUUUGAGGCACAUAUAUUUUCUUGUUACAGGUUAAUAUUAAAU